CGAAUACUUUUCCAAACAGCUCAAUUUCUGAGACAGGAAUGAAGUAUUAUGCUAAGGUGUUUGCAAACUGCAGUGACAAGUCAGAUUAUCCUAAAGGUGUGACAGCGAUCAGAGACCCUGAUUCCGACCAUGGUAAAGUUCGUUUUAUGUGGUGUGAAGAUGGCUGGACUGUAAUCCACAGACGCACUGGACCUGAGCUGUCAUUUAACC